AAUGAACGCUGGCGACAGGCCUAACACAUGCAAGUCGAACGGAUCCUUCGGGAUUAGUGGCGGACGGGUGAGUAACGCGUGGGAACAUACCCAAAGGUACGGAAUAGCCUCGGGAAACUGGGAGUAAUACCGUAUGUGCUCGAAAGAGGAAAGAUUUAUCGCCUUGGAUUGGCCCGCGUUGGAUUAGGUAGUUGGUGGGGUAAUGGCCUACCAAGCCGACGAUCCAUAGCUGGUUUGAGAGGAUGAUCAGCCACACGGGGACUGAGACACGGCCCAGACUCCUACGGGAGGCAGCAGUGGGGAAUUUUAGACAAUGGGGGAAACCCUGAUCUAGCCAUGCCGCGUGAUCGAUGAAGGCCUUAGGGUUGUAAAGAUCUUUCAGGUGGGAAGAUAAUGACUGUACCACCAGAAGAAGCCCCGGCUAACUCCGUGCCAGCAGCCGCCGUAA
rnacentral:rRNA from 1 species